rnacentral:rRNA from 1 species
CCAGCUCCAAUAGCGUAUAUUAAUGUUGUUGUAAUUAAAAAGCUCGUAGUUGAAACUCCAGGCGUUUUAGGACGUCUGCCUGGCACGGCUAUCGCUACCUAAUAAGUUGUGGUAAUCCGUUCAGGCGUUUACUGUGAACAAAUUAAAGUGCUCAAAGCAGGCUUUUGCUUGAAUAGUCUAGCAUGGAAUAAUAAAAUACGACUUUGUUCAUUUUAUUGGUUAUUGGACAAAGUAAUGAUUAACAGGAACAGUUGGGGGCAUUCGUAUUUAAUUGUCAGAGGUAAAAUUCUUAGAUUAAUUAAAGACGAACUAAUGCGAAAGCAUUUGCCAAGGAUGUUUUCAUUAAUCAAGAACGAAAGUUAGGGGAUCAAAGACGAUUAGAUACCGUCGUAGUCCUAACUAUAAACUAUACCGACUAGGGAUUGGUGAGGGGUAUACCCUUAUCAGCACCUAAUGAGAAAUCAAAGUUUUUGGGUUUUAGGGGGAGUAUGGUCACAAGGCUGAAACUUAAAGGAAUUGACGGAAAGGCACCACCAGGAGUGGAUUCUGCGGCUUAAUUCGACUCAAC